GAUGAACGCUGGCGGCGUGCCUAAUACAUGCAAGUCGAGCGAACGGACGAGAAGCUUGCUUCUCUGAUGUUAGCGGCGGACGGGUGAGUAACACGAGGAUAACCUACCUAUAAGAGUGGGAAAACUUCGGGAAACCGGAGCUAAUACCGGAGGAUAUUUUGAACCGCAUGGUUCAAAAGUGAAAGACGGUCUUGCUGUCACUUAUAGAUGGAUCCGCGCUGCAUUAGCUAGUUGGUAAGGUAACGGCUUACCAAGGCAACGAUGCGUAUCCGACCUGUGAGGCUGGUCGGCCACCCUGGAACUUGGCCACCCUCCUGGCUCCUGCGGUAGGCAGCAGUAUCGUAUCUUCCGCAGUGGUCGGAAGCCUGACGCAGCAACCCCGCGUGAGUUAUGGCGGUCUUCGGAUCGUAAAGCUCUGUUAUUAGUUAAGAACAUAUUUGUAAUUUACUGUGCACAUCUUGACGGUACCUAGUCAGAAAGCCCCGGCUAACUACGUG
rnacentral:rRNA from 1 species